UGGGAGGUGAUUGUCAUGGCCCUUGGAACUGAAGACCCCACUUUUGGACUUAUCAGGCUGCAGCUCUCCGGGGCCCUGGGACCUGCUUCUGUCCCCUUGGUUCUAUGCUGAGCGGUGUGGCCUGUCCUGAGGCCCCAGUGCAGGGCGGGUGAUCUUUAUGGGCUGCGACCAGAUGAGGCCUCACUACGGACCUCCACUCACUGCUGGCUGCCCCCGGCCCAGAGCAACUACCCUCCUAGACUCCAGGCAGGGGCAGCACAGCCCCUAAGGUGCAGGCGGAGUUGGAGUAGAUGAGGAAGGGCAGCGGAGCCCAGGAGGAGGUGCUGAGUCUGGGGCCGGGAUCUGCAGGAAUAUGAACCUCUUUCUCACACCUUCUUAUAAACAGGUCUCGCCUGAGCCAGGGCCCAGAUUCUGGCCUGCUCUUCACGGGUGCAGCAAGACCCCUUUCAAGACCGCAUGACUGUCUUGCCAGGUCAAGUCAAAGGCUAUGUACGGUGUCUUCGAGGGGCAGGCAGCCCUGAGGACUCUUAACUGCCUGCACGGUACUAGCUGUCCCGGUCCGCAGCUGGGAGGGAAAAAGAAAGGAGGAAGCCUCACCCAUCAGGUGGCCGGUACUAAGAGGUGGUGGUUCCCAGGAAGGAGUUACACCAUGGCAAGGGCGUUCAG
rnacentral:lncRNA from 1 species